ACGGUCGGAGGGGCCAGACAUUUUCAAAGGUGUUGAAGAGAGAAGAGGUUGGACAAAUCAAGAUCUUAGAAGGGCAAGAAUGGAGCUUCUACUGGUGGAGAUUCAAGUGUGCUUCGGAACUUAAUGCCAGCCCCUAUAAAAAAUCUGCACUCGACGGAGCUUCAGAAAUCGAAGAGGCACCUGCUCAGAAAUCGAAGAGGCGUUUGCUUUCUCAAAAGCUGGGCUGCUUAGAGACCACGAAGGUUGAUCUCAGAAAUCGAAGAGGCGUUUGCUUUCUCAAAAGUUAGGUUGCUCAAAGACCACGAAGGCCAAUCUCAGAAAUCGAAGAGGCGCUCGCUUUCUCAAAAGCUGGGCUCCUCAGAGACCACGAAGGCCGAUCUCAGAAAUCGAAGAGGCACCUACUUUUCCAGCCUUGUCAGCACCUGUCACACGCACACUCAGCUUUGCGGAAAUUAUGGGCAUUCUGUCGAAGACUUCUCGAGAGCCAGAUACCACAGACCACUUUUUCAAAGUGCUCUGACAGAGUUAAAACAUGUGAAGCUGGCAGCUCCCACUACUGUGCUAUGACCAAGCAGGGUAAAGGAAUAGCAAACAUGCCCAACCUUUACUCACAUUCGAGAAAACACUCCCAACAAGAUUGCUUGCUCCAAAAUCGAAGAGGCACCGCCCUCCGAAUCUCGAGAGCCAGACUCCCAACAUGAUUACUUUCUCAAAAAUCGAAGUGACACUGCUCCCCGAAUCUCGAGAGCCAGACCCCCAGCAUGAUUGCUUUCUUAAAAAUCGAAGAUGCAUCGUUCUCCGAAUCAAUCGAAGAGACGCUCGCUUUCUCAAAAGCUGGGCUGUUUAGAGACCACGAGGGCUGAUCUCAGAAAUCGAAGAGGCACCUACUUUUCUAGCCUUGUCAGCACCUGUCACACGCACACUCAGCUUUGCGGAAAUUAUGGGCAUUCUGUCGAAGACUUCUCGAGAGCCAGAUACCACAGACCACUUUUUCAAAGUGCUCUGACAGAGUUAAAAACAUGUGAAGCUGGCAGCUCCCACUACUGUGCUAUGACCAAGCAGGGUAAAGGAAUAGCAUUACUACUUGUUAGGGAGACUCCUAUAUAUGUCGACCUUCAUCCCCAACGGACAGGCAGACCUGCAAAAAUGCUCAACCCUUCCUCAUAUCUGAGAGGGCACUCCCCACGAAGCCUUUCGAAAUAUUCAGCUUUCUUUCCCCCCGAUAAUACCUCUGCAAACAAGCUAUACUAGAGCAAGAAUAUCUCAUAUCAUCAGGGUUAAAAGCAAGAGUAUCCCAUAUCAUGCUUUUUCCCUGUCUUUUCCUUUUGGCCUUGUUUUUACCUGCAAGACAAGGAGAAAGAGAGCAAUCAGUCAGCACUUGGCAUCAAGCUUCCAGCCAGGAACUGACUGCCUGGAACCCCUUACCUGAUUACUUACCUGGCAUUGCUCUCGAGUACUCAUCUUCAACAUCUUAUGUUUCCAGGGAAGAUACCGCAUCUGCUUGAGGAACAGAUAGGGCAAGUGCGAAGGAUACAAGGAAGCAUGUGGAGACAAGCGUAACAGCACACGUGCCGAUACAUCCAUUACUCUGUCAAAAGCAAAAGUAUCCCAUAUCAUCAGCAGGGUCGAACGUACUCUAGAUUUGAUGGACUUGUUUUGACCCUCAAAUUCUUCAGUCGGCUCUGGAGGAAACCAGAAAACCCUCCAGCUCAGUUCAAGAAUAAGCCUGUGGAAAGUUACUUCUUCAAAAGCAAAAGUAUCCCAUAUCAUCUCUUCUCAUUUUUCUUCUCUUUAUCCUUCAUGCUGCUGCAAGAUGGGGAGAAGGUGAACAAUCAGCCGGAGCUCUGAUUGCUUACCUUGUCUGUCACCUCUUUCAGCAGAUCCCCUAGCUCGGCGACUUGGGGGACUCCUACUACAUGGUUUGUAUCGCGCUUGACCAAGCCUGAAACUACAAGUAAGCUUCAAGUGAAAUUGAUACAUUACCUUGUGCAUCUCCACCAGUUAAAGAUACCACCCCUGGAUGGAGGAAGAGUACUUCCAGAGAAAGAUGCCACAUCUACCUAUGAGACAGAUAAGGCAAGUCAAGACGAUACCACACUCCGAUACUUAGAAGUUUCGUGAUUACGAGAUCAUUCUCUCACAAUAUUUCCUAAUGUCAUUUGUACUAAAUCAUUCACUUGUACUCACUAAAGGAGAGCUUGAACCUAUGUACUUGUGUAAACUCUUCACAAUUAAUGAGAACUCUUCUAUUCCGUGGACGUAGCCAAUCUGGGUGAACCACGUACAUCUUGUGUUUGCUUUCCUAUCUCUAUUCAUUUAUAUACUUAUCCACACUACUAUGACCGGAGCAAUCUAGCGAAGAUCACAAAAAGCGACCGUUUUUGCUGCCUAGGAUCUAUCUUGCAAGAGAACGGAGAAUUAGAUGGAGAUCUCAACCAUAGAAUACGAGCUGGAUGGAUGAAGUGUAAGAGUGCAUCCGGCGUGUUAUAUGUGACCGUCGUAGGCCACUGAAGCUCAAGGGAAAAUUUCAUAGGACGACAAUAAGGCCAAUGAUGUUGUAUGGCACAGAAUGUUGGACGGUGAAGCAUCAACACGUACACAAAAUGGGUGUAGCGGAGAUGAGGAUGCUUCGUGGGAUGUGUGGGCACACGAGAAAGGAUAAGAUUGGGCAUGAGGAUAUCCGAGGUAAAGUAGGAGUAGCCGAAAUUGAAGGAAAUAUGAGAGAAAAUCGGUUUCGGUGAUUUGGAAAUGGGCAAGAAGGCCGACUGACGCUCCGGUUCGAAGAUGUGACUACGGGACAGAGGUUCAGGGCCGAAGGGGUAGAGGAAGACCUAGGAAAACUUUGGAAGAGACUCUAAGAAAAGACUUAGAGUACUUGGAUCUAACGGAGGACAUGACACAAAACCGAGCGCAAUGGCGUUCUAGGAUUCAUAUAGCCGACCCCACUUAGUGGGAAAAGGCUUUGUUGUUGUUGUUGUUGUUGUUGGUUCUACUCCUAAUGGACCUAUUGUCGUAAAUCUCCACCAGUGUUGGGAGGCGUAGAUUGGAAAAAAAAAAUCCUCCCUGGACUCCAACUGAUAAAACCCUAGCAGCCAUUCCCCCCAAUUUCUCUCUCUUGCGCAAACCCAGUUCCUUCUCCCCGCCGCCGACUUCUUCCUUCGGCUGUGGUCUGCCGCAACCCAUUGUUAUUACUUUUCUCUCCUUUUGUUGUCUCUUUCUAGUAAUGAUGCCCCCUGGCCUUUUCUUCCGGUGUCUAUGACCGUCGGUUUCUAAGGUCAUGGCCUGUUUUCCCAGCGUUUUGCGCCGCUUCCCAGCGUUCUUCGCCUUUUUGGCUUCUUCACUCCUAAUCCCUGUCCUGCGGCCCUCCUUUUUCAACCCUAAACACUCACACUUUUCCAUCUUCUUCAUUUUCUCCCCCUCACAUGUCUUUCCUUCCACAACCCUUGCUCAAAAAGUAGGAGCAGCUCACCCGUUUUUACCAUCAAAUCUUAACCUUCCCUUCACAGCUCCGCCCCCAAUCGGCAUGCUGGAAAAACGGGGCCAAGUGCGUUGUGGCUUAGCCCAAAGCGAGGGUGUUUUAGAUGCCCCCUUAGCCCCAAACCCUUUCCAUUUGUUUUGGUUUUUGGUUCUCCUUGUUGGCGCUUGUGUUGGAGGUUCAGAUCUGGUGUUUCUUCUCUGGUGUGGUGCUUUUGGUGGUGAAAUUUGGUUGGGGAUUUCUCUCUGUUGCGGGUUGGAAAACUUUGUGAUGCGAUAUGCUAUUCUGCCAUUUUUUUGUUGUUUGGGCUUUAGCUUUCCCCAAUUGUAUUGGUCUUAUUUGUUGUCCUUGGUUUUGUGCCACUGCCUUUCAAUGAAAUUGUUUGGGUAAGUUACAUUUUACCAUCUCCUGUUUGAAGUCUAUUGCAACUUCAUAUAACAUCUUCAAAACAUUUCAUUUUCAUACGUCAAGUACUAUUUUAUUUCAAUAUAGUACCUUUGUUACAUUUUUCAUCUAUUACUCCUUUAAGAGCUGACGUGGCUGCCAAAUUUGUGUCACGUGACAAAAAAUAAUAAUUUUUUUAUGCAUUUACAAAUAAUUAAUUAAAAAAAAGUUAUAAAAAAUUUAAAAAAAAAACCCUAAAACCCAUCCUCCCUGACCUUCGUCCCCUCCUCCUCCACUCUCUUCAUCUCCCUGACCUUUGUCCCCUCCCUUCACCACCCAAUUCAUCUCCGAACUCGGUCAAGCCUUUCUCGUUGGAACUAAUUAGCCUGCUCUUCGCCACCAGCCCGUCUUUCCUCUGCAAUGGCCAUCGGCUUAGUCGCGAAGCUCUGCGACUCCUGCAAGAACUCGGCGACGACCUUAUUCUGCAAAGCCGACUUGGCCAUUAUGUGCCUGCCCUGCGACAUCCACUCCGCCAACCCCCUCGCCCAUCCACUCCGACAUCCACCGACAUCUCAAUUUGAGUGAAAACCCUAGAAUCCAAAGCAGCAUAAUCACCGUUGUCGUUGCUGAAUUUGAUUCAGGGACAUGAUGAAUCUAUUGGAAAAUAUUAGUAUUUAGUUUAUUUGAAUGUUUGGUUUUCUAGGCUUAGCCCGUUAGCAUUAGGGUUUUGAUUUCUUACCUUUUAGGAUUAAGGUUAGUUUAUUAUAAAUAGCAUGCUUGUUAUUCAUUUGAGAACAAGCUAUUCACAAUGUAGUCUCUUAGGGUUUUGUAUCCGUUCCGGCAUUCUAGUUUGUUUAAUAAUAUUCUUAUUAUUUUGUAAUCUUAUUCGUUGCACACUCUGAUAUUCAACUUGGUAUCAGAGCAGGUUUGAUCCUUAGGGUUCAAUCAGUUCUUGUUGGUAUCAAUUUGUUUGUAUCAGUUUUUUUUUCCGUCAUCUUCCAUUGUUUGUGUUUUCGUUUUAGAUUUGUUAGUUGGUAUUGAUUGUUUGCAAGAAAAAAAAGGAAAAUAGAAAGGAUCUUGCUGCUGUUGUUUGUUUGCACAGAAGAAAAAAAGGAAAACAGAAAGGUUCUACUGUUUGUUCACAUGAAAGAAAAAAGAAAGAAAAAUGGGAAGGAAGGAAAUGAUAGAAAGAAAAAAAGCAAAAAGAGAAGGAAAAAGAAAAACAAUUGUUUGCUGUUAGUUUAAGGUCCACAUGGGCAACAAAAAAAAAAGGUUAUCUUAUUGUGAGGUCUUUGUUUUGAAGUUUGGGUAUUUGUCGUUGCCGUUCACAAUGAAUUCUCGAGUUGCUACAAUAUUUUUGACAUUGUUCAUUUGUUGGUACAAUUGAGAUAUGGAAAUCUCGUUCUUUUAGUGACGGGUUCUCUCCAUACUCUCAACACUAGCCAGUUUGAACCAAAAUCAGUUUGCCAGCAAGAAUCAAGUCAAGUUUGUCAGUUUGCUAGUCAAGUCAAGUCAAGUCAAGUCAAGAAUCAAGUCAAGUUUGUCAGUUCGCCAGGCAAGUCUAGUCAAGUCAAGUCAAGUCAAGUUUGCAUGCCUACCAGUUCACCUAACAGAGCUAGUCUACAUCUGCUUGUUUGCAAACCCAUGUCGUAUACCGCCAUGAGUUUGACAGGGGGUGUUGAAAAAUAUUAGUAUUUAGUUUAUUUGAAUGUUUGAUUUUCUGGGCUUAGCCCAUUAGCAUUAGGAUUUUGAUUUCUUACCUUUUAGGAUUAGGGUUAGUUUAUUAUAAAUAGCAUGCUUGUUAUUCAUUUGAGAACAAGCUAUUCACAAUGUAGUCUCUUAGGGUUUUGUAGCCGUUCCGGCAUUCUAGUUUGUUUAAUAAUAUUCUUAUUAUUUUGUAAUCUUGUUCGUUGUGCACUUUGAUAGUCAACUUAAUCUGAUUCAGGGGAAUAGUAAUCUGUGCAAUAUCCAGAUUAGGUACGGAGUGUCGUUAUCCACCGAAGGAGUGGCGGCGGAGACUCUACUGCCAACGUACAACUCAGUGAUCGUCGAUUCCAUAAUGCCACCGAAGACCUCCGCCAUGAAAUCCAACAAUGGCCUCACCUACAAUGUCCCGAUUCCUCUCCCAAGAAAGCGGUCCACAUAAUCUAUUACCAAGGGCAUCAGCCCUUCAUUUUCGAACCCAGCUCCGCCGUUGACCAAGAACAAAAACUGUGGCCCUUUCUCUAUUCUUGGCGAGGAUAUUUCUCCGUCUCAUUUCCCAACACGUACAUACCCAAAUACAUAGCAUAGAAAUUUGACGGAUUUGGACUGAUUUGGCGUUAGAUUAUUUGAUGGGUAUUUUUUUAUUCGGUUUUAUUGAUCUGGAUUGCGUUUAUUUGAUUUUACAGACGGAGAAGGUGAGAUUGGAAGUUGAGGAGAAGAGAGUGGGAGGUGGGGGUGGGGUGCGUUUUUGGAUGGGAGGGGAGGUGAAGAGAGUGGAGGAGAGGGAGGUGGGUCAGGGGGUUCUGGGUUUGUAUGUUGUUUGUUUGUGUGCGUGUGUGUGCGUUUUUUUUUUUUUAAGAGGAUAAAAAUUAUAAUAGUUUAAAUGUAUAAAAAAAUAUUUUUUUUUACCACGUGAGACAAAUUUGACAGUCACAUCAGCUCUUUAACAGAUCAAUGAAUGAAAAAUGUAACGGAUGUAUUAUAUUGAAAUAAAAUAGUAUUUGAGGUAUGAAAGUGAAAUGUUUUGAAGAUGUUGUAUGAGAUUGCAAUAGACCUCAAACCUGAGGUGGGAAAGUGUAAUUUAUCUAAAUUGUUUGCUUUCGACCAAAAACAGGAGCAGAUUGACUGACUAGGCCUGAAAUGGGUUUUACCUUAGUCCUCUCUCUAAAAGCAGAACUGUUUUUUUUAUUUAUCAUAUGAUAACACUUAAAACUACCAUUUUGUUAACACAUUAACGACCUUGAAUUUUCUUCAAUGCACAUUAAAAAUAAAUUUUUAAGUUACACAUAUGAACAAGAGUCAUUAGAUCCUGUUAAAUUAAAUGAUCUAACAAAUGAUCUAACAACUCUUGUUCUAUUUUAGUCGAAAACUAAAGAUGUUUGUUCAGAUGUGUACUUAAAUGUGCACUUUUGAUGUGCAUUAGAGAAAAGUUCGUAAGGACCUUUAACCUCUUUCUUCAAGAAUAUUAGCCCACACACAAAGUGUGUGAGAAAUUUUUUUAUUUUUGUUUUUGAAAUAGAAUGAGAGAGGAAGAGAGUAAUAGAGAAUGUGGGAGUGGGAAGGUUUAUUUUAUUUUUUUAUAUUAUUAUUAAAUUAGAUAUAUGUUAUGAUUACAUGUAGGUGAGGCUUUGAAAAAAAAAACAACAAAAUUUGAUUGUGUGAAAUUACAUUUCUGCUCCAUAUUUCUUAUUCAUGUUUUGUUUUAAUUAGAAGGUUAAACUGAUAAUUUCAUAGAAUUUUAGUUAAUAAUGAGUGUUUUAUUGAUUAGUAGAGAUUCUUUUAAGGCGCCUUCGACACGACACUCCUCAACCAUUGUUCCAGCCGCCCUCAAGACCACAUGAGCAACGCCGGACCCAUUACAAAUCUAAAAUUCAAAAAAGAACAAUUUAUAGUAAUUUUUAUUCAAGCAAAUAGGGGAGGGAGAAGAAUCGAGCUUAUAAUAUAUAAAUAAUCUUAACCACUUGAACUAAAAGUUUUAAUCAAUUUUAUUUAUUUUUAUAUAACGAGAUAUUUAUGCAAAUAAAUGAAAAAAUAAAUUGGUUUGAACUUUCAGUUUACGAGAUUUGAACUGACCUUCCUAUCAUUGGGGGUUAAAGCAUAAAUCCAUACACAAAUAUAUUAAGCGGCAUCAUGUGCCAUGAAAUGGGAACUUGCUUAAGAGUAAGGCUUGAGAUAAGUUGAUCAAGGACUUGUUUGAAUGCUUUUAAAAUGAUUGAAAACGUUUUUUAUGAAGAUGUUUUUGAAACCCAUCAUAUGUAAAAAUUGAAUAAGAUCCUGAAAAAACACUUUAAGUACUUCAUACAAAAAACACAUAUUUUAUGCUUCUUCUAAAAAUUAUUUAAAUUAUUUUCGAAUCCCAAAAAUUAAUUUUACCAAAAUGCUUUCAAUUAUUUUAAAAUCACCACCGAACGAAUUCUAACUUUGUCGAGUGGAAAACCCACCGCCCAAAACAUAUAUAUAAAACCCGAACGAGCAUUUCACAAAAUCCCAGAUUUUCCAGCUAGAAACCUCACCAAACGAAAAGGCACAAAGAAUCAAAAAUCUAAUCGUACAGAGAGAGAGCAAAAGCCAUGGCUGCUUCGGACGAAACCCCGUCGGCUAAGAGAUGGCUUCCUCUCGAAGCUAACCCUGAUGUUAUGAAUCAGGUACUUCAAUCAAUCGCCUUCCUUUUCAAGAAAAAAUUAAAUUACCCGUAUUUAUUGCGUAUUCUUCGGAUUAUGCUCUGUUUGUUUCCCGAGAAAAUGCAGAGCUAGGGUUUGGUGCGAAUUUGAUGUGGAAAAUGGAACGUUUUGAUUCUUCUGGAAAUUGAGUUCAAGUAUGUGAUUAAGCUUGUUUGGAUUUGGUUAAUAAUUUGAAAUGAAUGUAAACCACUCACAUAGAAUCUGCUUAGUUGCUGUAGGGGAAAUCAGUUGGCAAAGAGAUGAUAAAGUACGUAUCGGUUUCGUUUAUACCAAAAUUUUUAGCGUUGGGGAGACCCAAUUAGUGAAUAAUAACUAAACAUUUGCUUUUGACAGAAAGCUAGACAGGAAUUUGGUUUUCGAAACUAAAACGUAAUGAGUAGCGACAAUCAUUUUGCACUGAAGAGAAGCGGAAAAAUGUUUAGCCUAUUCUUUCGUCAUUUUGAUUACAUGUACUCUUGUUUGUAUGUUAUGUUGCAAAUUAGAUUUAUAGUUUUCACAAAGGUGAUAUAUUCAAGAAGAGCACCAUUUGCACCAUUUGCACCAUUGACCUUUAUAAUGGUUUUACCUCAUUGUGCAAAAUACCAAAUCAAAUGAAAGAAACGUAUUUGGUUAUUGCAGUUCCUUUGGGGCCUGGGUCUUCAAGAGGAUGAGGCAGAAUGCUAUGAUGUUUACGGGUUGGAUGGAGAACUCUUAGAAAUGGUUCCGAAUCCUGUACUUGCUGUCCUGUUUCUUUAUCCUAUAACCGCUAAGGUUUUGUCUCUUUCCUUGAAAUACAAAUUAAUAAUUCUGAACUUUGUGGUUGGUGUGGAACUUAAGUUUUCUGCAUCUGUCUUUCUUUUGGACAAUAUGAAAUUUGGUUGUCUCCUGAUUUGAGGGAUGUUUCUGUACUUUUCAGACUGAAGAAGAGAGAAUGAUGCAGGCAAAUGAAAAACAGGUGAGUGAUAGGAAAUUUGAUUGAAUGCUCUGUAUAAAAUGAAAGCCUUUUAUUUUUGAGCGGGUUGUUGAACUUGUGAUCUCUCUGUGCAUAUAUGUGGAUGGCGUGCAUGUGCAUAUUCAUGCGAUGAUAGUAACUUUUGAGAGAUCAGUUCUGUAUUGAAAUUUAUGUUCACAUUCAACCAUGUUUUAUGUUUUCAUACCUUGCUCACUUAUUUUCGAUUGUGUUAAUUCGUUUUAUUUACUUCUUGCAUACUUGUUUUUUUGCUUGGUGUUUCUAAUGAUUUACUGAUCUAAAGAGAAUUUUGUAUUCAAAUACAUUAUGACUUGAUUUGAUUUGAAGUGGUAUGAUUUAAUUAGAAUGAUUUGGAAUGCAUAUCCUGGCUGUAGGAACCCAAAGGUAAUGUUUAUUUUAUGAAACAAACUGUGGGCAAUGCUUGUGGAACAAUUGGACUUCUUCAUGCUGUUGGAAACAUCACUUCAGAGAUCAAACUUGGUAAGUUGUUUACUGUUUUCCUGUUAUGGGUGAAUUCUGAUUAGAGUUAUUCAUGGCAGCCUUGCGUUCUCCAUACUUGCGGGUGUAUGUAUUACACACAAGUAUUAAUCACUGCUAGUGAUUUAGAGUGCCGUGUUUUUUGAGUGGCUGCUAGCAAAUCUUGGUUUCUUUUGGAUUCUCCCCCCUUGACCAGGAAAAGAGUGUGUGUGUGUGUGUGAGAGAGAGAGAGAGAGAAAGAGAGAGGUUUGUUGAAAUUUCUUUGGGGCCAAUGGUUCCUUUAACUUUUUUUUCUCUCAUAUUCCUCUUUCUCUUACCUAACAAUGUUUGAUCACCCUGCUUCUGAAAAUGCCAAACAAUUGCAGGAACAAUCGGAUCAAUAGAAGUAAAAUGAUAAUUAAGAAUAUAGAAUGCCUGGGGAAAAAGCAUACCAUUGGAAAGGAGCUUCUUGGUUAUUACCACCAAAGUGUAUGCUAUUCUAGUUUCUAACUAGGACAGUGCAUGUUUGUGGACCACCUAGCCGUGGAAAUUAGGGAUACAGAAUUGUGAAACUAGAGAAUUCUAGAUACCAAAACUGUUCCCUUAAGUAACUCCUUUGGAGGAAUUGAAGCUUGAUUUUGUUCAAGUACGCAACCUUGGAAAGCAUGCUUCCCUGUAGAAGCCAAAAUUAAUGAUUAUUUUUCUUUCUGACAAUUGCUUACUAGUUAUUAAUAAAUGUUUACCACAGUUAUUUUUUCCAUGUUAUCCUCUUUUUCUUUUCAGUUGAGGAUUCGUUCUUGGAUAGGUUUUUCAAAAAAACUGCAAGCAUGGAUCCAUUGCAGGUUCUAUUUUCUUUUCCCUCAUAUUUUGUCCUUUCAGCUUGACCAAUUCAUAUAGAUUCAUAUUAUUCUUCUUGCCUCUUAUUGUCAUCUAUUUGUCAUACAAAUGUAGCGUGCAGCAUUCCUUGAAAGUGACACAGAAGUGGAAGUUGCUCAUUCUGUAGCAGCCAAUGGUGGCGAUACAGAGGUGAUAUAUUUUAAGUAGCAUAGAAUAUUAUGUAAAGUACCAAUCUCUGCACUUUCCUCUGUUUGGUUCAUAUGGUUUGUGCUUCACAUGUCUUACUCUGUUUCUUUCUAGGCGUCCGACAAUGCAGACACUCACUUUAUUUGCUUUGCAUGCGCGGACGGUGAGUGCUUAUUCUAUAUCUGUUCAGAGAUGGUUCUUGAUUUUUUUUACCCUACUGCACGGUUUGUGAUUUUGAUCUUUUGUUUAAUUUGUAGGGGAACUUUAUGAGCUUGAUGGGAGGAAGUCAGGCCCAAUCUCUCAUGGUCCAUCUUCACCAAACAGUCUAUUGCAGGUAUUUAAGAUGUCAUUGUGCUCUCUGAUUCAAAAUUAGAGGAAGAACACACAAUCAAUGCCUAAACAUAUCAAAAGUUAAACUGUCAAUUUAGUAACCGUUUCUUUUUUUGGGUCAAGUAAAGAGAGGGAAGAAGCAUAAUAUCCUCAAGAUUAAAUGGAUGAAGUUUCGGGGGGAGAGAGGAAACUAUAACUAAAACUGUUUUGAACUGAUUUAAAGUUAACGUGUCUAUGUUUUGGAAAAGUCAAUCAUAAUAGUUCAAUUAGCUAUUCUCAUGUUUAUUUUGGCUCAUUUCAAGUGGGAACGUGUUGGCCUUUACCCGAGUCUUUAUGUACAGUUUGCAGCCCUUCAUCGCCCAUCUGAUAACUUUUUAAUUGCAUAACAGGAUGCAGCUAAAGUCAUACAGGGCAUGAUCCAGAAAAAUCCCGACUCCCUCAACUUCAAUGUGAUUGCAAUUUCGAAGAAAUCUGGUGGGUUUUCUUAAGUUGGAAUGCAUCCAUGUCCUUCAUAAGCGGUCAAAAGUGCAGUGGUAGCACUUGAUGUACGCAUCUUUAUCCUUUUCCCGGUUUAACAUGUGUGCUGGCAUCUUUAGCAUAAGCUUACUCAACUUGCGUUAAACUUGUUGUAAACUUUUCUGAUUAUAACGUUGGUGUGCAUUGAACAAGCCUGUUGGAAUAUGAAUAGAGUUCUGUUUUUGCUUUAAUCAUGUAGUGCUAAUGAUCCCGGAAAAAGAAACAAGUGUGUAUGAUAGAUGGAUUGGAAUUUUGAAACCAAAACCAAACUGAUUUCCAACUUAGUUCCAUAAGAGUGUCAAAUGAGUAUGUUUGAUUGUUAGGCGUGAAAUAUGUCUAUUGCAACGUUGUGAUGGCAUGCUAGAUUAUUAGGUUUUAUGAUCAUUUGCACGGCGUGCUCAGCAUAUUUCGAAUGUAUUACCACAUAGAAAACGGCAUAGAAAACUGAUCCUCACAGAUUGGUAUGGAACUCACACAAAUAAGAGCUGACAGUGAACAAGGAUUACAUAGUAGUUGUUUCUUGGCCAUGAAGCAACCAUUGCCGCGUUAAUAUCUGUUUGAUGAUAUCAUUGUGCACCCUGUGUAUCGUUGCUGAUGAGCUUCCUAGGCCGCUCUUCGUGUCAGUUCUUGAUGCUUCUAACCCCGCUCGCCAAUGUUGAAGCCAGCUGAUCCAGUUUGUCAGCACCAACCGGGUGCUGUCCUGUCACAUAGUUGUAAACCCAGUAAAACACCAUCGCCGCUGUUGCGCCAAGCCCUCCCGACAUAACAAGCCCAGUAUUCAGCAGAAGCAUUGCAACUCCGGCUGGUACCAACACCGGGCUGAAGAUCACCAGCAACGGUGUUGCUGCCACCAAACCGAUAACAACGGCAGUGAGUGUCAAACUGGAGAGGACGGAGAGGGACCCGGAAAAGGUUAUGGCAGUGGAGGCCUUGGCCAAUUGAUAGGAGAGGUUUUCUGGAUUUCGAGCCAUUGAUGAUACUCUAUCGUUUCUUUGAGGAGCUUGCUGGUUGGGAGGGAAGGGCGUAUAUGAAGGGUGGUGAGUCACGUGAGGAGAGGCGUAUGUCACGUGCUUCGUGUUUAUCUUCAGAACAUUUGCAUGUGAAGAAGUAUGCGUUUGCUCGACACCUAUACUACCCUACAAUUCCAUUGUUAUGUUUAUCCGGUUUCUGGGAGAAGAUGUUUCUCUCUGUUUUGGAAGGCAGCACAAGUUGGGUGGUUACAUCUGCAUUUUCUAUGGCAGCACUUGCCAUCAUCCGUGGACCCACCGAGCUCGACGAUCCAAGCGUUGGUAGAUUAGAUCGUUGUCGUCGGAAGAACAUUGCUUGGCUCCUUCCUUUUAAGGAAAAAUUCAUCCUUCUAUGUAAAUCACAAAGUCUUGACAUGCAUAUACAAGUUGAUUAUGCACGCGUGAAAUUGUGAUUUGUUUAGAAUUGAUGAUAACGGCCUCUGAAGACUCGUAAACAAGCUUGAUAUUCACAUAAAUGUGGAAUCUUAUUGACACACUCCGACCCCACGUUGACUAUGAGUUAGACUUCGUUGGCCGAUACUGUGUGGUGACGAAGCCAUAAAUAAGGUAAUUGGUACGUGACAAUUAAAAUGUUCAGGUUCAAUUUUACUAAAAAUUUGAAGAAUCUCCCCUACAAAUACAAUAAUUCAAAAUAAAUCUUGCAAGUAAACGCAAUUAAAACUCAACUUCCCCGACGGUCAUACCAAGGUUUCAACCCUUUUAUUCCAUGUCACAUAAGUUCAGAAUUAGUCAAGCAACAAUAUAAGCAAGUAAUCAUGUGAUGUGCAAGUAUAACCGUAAAUUUGGUUAUUUAUUAAUGCAACUAACUAAAAAGACAGAUAUCACUACGUAGGAGAGAUGUACUAUUGCCAAGCUCACUCACCGUCACAAGCUGCUACUUUCAUCCUACUAGGUCCUUAUGGGCGAAAAACAAAGUGUGAACGGAUCACAUCAAUUAUCAAGUUAAAAUUCUUUUAUAACAUACUAACCCCUGUUUUAGAAAGACCUAUAAACUAGUAUCUAUUACAUUUACAUAUAUAAGUUGAAAAAUACAUGUCAGUCACAAUAAAAAAUCAUACACGAGGAACUGCAAUACAUUUCUACUAACUAUCUACUAACUAUCUAUCACACUAGCAUCUACUAGUGAAUCUAGCAUCUUUUAGAAAAUAUAACACAUGCAAACAUCCAAUGGCUGAAGCUAAACUAUCCUCCAUGUAUAAUGGUGAAAAUAAAUCACAAUAUAAACACAUAUCAUUUAAAUGUCAUCUAAUCAUUGCAACCUAAAAUUUAGUCUCAUCUAAGACCAAUAUCAAGGCAUGCUUGUGAUACGGAUUUUUACUACCUACAAAUGUAGGGAUAAAAACACUUAAAAAUACUUGUAAGAGUACAAGGUUAUCGUAGUAUAGUAGCUUAAGCAAGAUCAUUUUCCGUGGGGAUUAUUUAAAUCAAUUUAUGCAAAACCAAAAUCUUAGUUAAUUAUUUGAAACAAAGAUUGGAAAAAGUUGAUUUUGAAUUUAAAAAUAAUAAAAACGAAUUUAAUUAAAAUGAUUAAAGAAAUUAGCAAAGUAAAGAAAACAAAGGAAAACGUUUUGAAAACCAAAUUGUAAAUGCCUAAGGUUCCGUCAUCCCCUUAACAAUCCUAUGUAGAUUUACCAAUUACUUAUGAAUUACCCAUGCAACUUUGAAUGUUAGGUUUUCCUAAUGCAUAUUCUACUCGUGGUAUUCAAGGUAGAACAUAUAUCAAACAUGCAAUCCGUCUGUGGUAUUCACAUCAAAUAUAAACAUGUAUGACUCAUUAUGAUUUGUGAAAACCCUCGAAAAACCAUGCAAUCCCUAAGACCCCUAGGUGAAAUUACAACUAUCAAUCACAAGAAGCAAUACUCAAUCCUCAGGUGGUAUUCUGACCGAAUUGCAUCCAAUUUGUAACAUCCCACAUCGCCCAGGGGAGUGAUCCUUAAAUUUAUAUUCACAUCCCUACCUAGCACGAGGCUUUUUGGGAGCUCACUGGCUUCGGGUUUCGUAGGAACUCCGAAGUUAAGCGAGAAGUAGGCUAGAGCACUCCCAGAAUAGGUGACCCACUUGGAAGUUACUUGUGAGUUCCCAAAAAAAAAAACCGUGAGGGAAUGGUAAGCCCAAAACAAACAAUAUCGUGCUACGGUGGUAGAGCGGGCCCGAAAUGUGGUGGACCCGGGCCAAGAUGUGACAAAUGGUAUUAGAGCCAAUCCUUGGUCAGAAGUGUGCCGACGAAGACGUCGGGCCCCUAAGGGGGGGUGGAUUGUAACAUCUCACAUCACCCAAGGGAGUGAUCCUUAAAUUUAUAUUCACAUCCUUACCUAGCAUGAGGCUUUUUGGGAGCUCACUGGCUUCGGGUUCCGUAGGAACUCCGAAGUUAAGCGAGAAGGAGGCCAGUGCACUCCCAAGAUGGGUGACCCACUGGGAAGUUACUCGUGAGUUCCCAAAAAAAAAACCAUGAGGGAAUGGUAAGCCCAAAACUGACAAUAUUGUUCUACGGUGGUAGAGCAGGCCUAGAAUGUGGUGGACUCGGGCCGGGAUGUGACAAAUGGAAUCAAAGCCAAUCCAUGGCCGGAAGUGCGUCGACGAGAACGUCGGGCCCCUAAGGGGGUGGAUUGUAAAACAUCGCCCAAGGGAGUGAUCUUUAAAUGUAUAUUUCCAUCCCUACCUAACACAAGGCCUUUUGGGAGCUCGCUGGCAUCAGGUUCUAUCGGAACUCCGAAGUUAAGCGAGAAGGUGGCCAAAGCACUCACAUGAUGGGUGACCCACUAGGAAGUUGCUCGUGAGCUUCCAGAAACAAAACCGUGAGGGCGUGGUUGGGUCCCAAAGCGGACAAUAUCGUGUUACGGUGGUAGAGUGUGCCCGGGAUGUGGUGGACCUAGGCCGGGAUGUAACAUAUGGUAUCAGAGCCAAUCCUUGGCCGGAAGUGUGCCGAUGAGGACGUCGAGCCCCUAAUGGGGUGGAUUGUAAAAUCCCACAUCGCCCAGGGGAGUGAUCUUUAAAUUUAUAUUCACAUCCCUACCUAGAACGAGGCCUUUUGGGAGCUCACUGGCUUCGGGUUCUGUAGGAACUCCGAAGUAAAGUGAAAAGGAGGCCAGAGUACUCCCAGGAUAGGUGACCUAUUGGGAAGUUGCUCGUGAGUUCCCAAAAAAAAAUCGUGAGGGAAUGGUAAGCCAAAAGCGGAUAAUAUCGUGCUACGGUGGUAGAGCGGGCCCGGGAUGUGGUAGACCCGGGCUGGGAUGUCACCACGAGCAACUUCUUAGUGGGUCACCCAUCUUGGGAGUGCUCUGGCCUCAUUCUCGCUUAACUUCGGAGUUCAUACGGAACCCGAAGCUAGUGAGCCAAUCCCAAAAGGCCUCGUGCUAGGUAGGGAUGUGAAUAUAAAUUUAAGGAUCACUCCUCUUGGUAAUGUGAGAUGUUACAAUCCACCCUCUUGUCCUCGUCGAUACACUUCCGGUCAGAGAUUGGCUCUCAUACCAUUUGUCAUAUCCUGGCCCGGGUCCACCAUAUCCCGGGCCUGCUCUACCACCGUAGCACGAUAUUGUCUGCUUUGGGCCCCGACCACGCCCUCACGGUUUUGUUUCUGGGAGGUCACGAGCAACUUCCUAGUGGGUCACCCAUCAUGGGAGUGCUCUGGCCACCUUCUCGCUUAACUUCGGAGUUCCGACGGAACCCGAUGCCAGUAAGCUCCCAAAAAGCCUCGUGCUAGGUAGGGAUGGGAAUAUACAUUUAAGAUGAUCACUCCCCUGGGCGAUGUGGGAUGUUACAAUACAUUUGUCAUAUCCCGGCCCGGGCCUACCACAUCAUCGGCUCGUUCCACCAUCGUAGUACGAUAUUGUCCGCUUUGAGCUUACCAUUCCUUCACGGUUUUGUUUUUGGGAAGUCACGAGCGACUUCCCAGUGGGUCACCCAUUAUAGGAGUGCUCUGAUGUCCUUAUCGCUCAACUUCGGAGUUCUUACGGAACCCGAAGCCAGUGAGCUCCCGAAAGGCCUUGUGCUAGGUAGGGAUAUGAAUAUAAAUUUAAGGAUCACUCCACUGGGCGAUGUGGGAUGUUACAAUCCACCCCCCUUAGGGGCCCAAUGUCCUCGUCAGCAAGCUUCCGGCUAGGGAUUGGCUCUGAUACCAUUUGUCACGUCCCAGCCCGGGCCCGGUCUACCACCGUAGCAUGAUAUUGUCCACUUUGGGCUUAUCAUUCUCUCACGAUUUUUUUUUGGGAAACUCACGAGCAACUUCCCAGUGGGUCACCCAUCUUAAGAGUGCUCUGACCUUCUUCUCGCUUAACUUCGGAGUUCCUACGAAAUCCGAAGCCAUUGAGCUCUCAAAAGGCUUCGUGCUAGGUAGGGAUGUGAAUAUAAAUUUAAGGAUCACUCCCUUGGGCGAUGUGGGAUGUUACACAAUUACUUAUCUAAACAUCCUAAUGGUAGCUAAGCAUUAAGAUAUAGAGACAGUUUAAACACAGUGAUUAAUAAUUCAAAGUAUGCAUGCAUAAUAUCAUAACCAAUUAAAUAAAAACUACAUAUUCAUGCUAAGUGACACAUCCUGACACUGAUAUUCCCUGAAUACCAGGAUAGACACGUGCUGGCAGACACCCGAGGGUGACGAAAGCCAUUAAUUGAUACAAAAGCUAAGAAUAAGAAAUAAAUAAGAGUUAUGAAUUUAAAAUACAAUGAAUUAAUAAUUUAGAAACAUGUUCAGAGCAUACAACUAACUAGAGCUCUAAAAGAAUUAAUAUAAAAUUGAAUAAAUAAAAGGAUGUGGGUCCUACACCGAGAGGACUCGAAUAUGCCAUGCCUCGAUUCUAAAUCCUGAAAGGGGGUGCAAAAUAAGGGUGAGUGGACCAAGUUCAUAUAUAUAUAUACACAUAAUACGAAAACAGUUAUGAACAUACUAACCCCUAGGUUUAUAUAUAAUGAAAACUACUAGUAUAAUAGUGAUAGGUUUUUUGAAACUCUGGCAUGCCAUAAAACAUCUCAACAGGUAUAACGCGAAAAAACAUCAUAUAAAUCAUCGCGUGUAUUGUCUCGUAAGAGUGGUGUAUUGCUAAUAAGAUCAUUGAAAUAAUUAUAACUCUCGGCCCUAUGCUAGCACCGUGGUCUCUGCGCCCGUAGCCAAAGAUUACUAACUCUCGGCCCAAUGCUUGCUCCGUGUUCCUCAGCCCGUAGCUAGGGAUUAUUUCUCCCGGCCUAUCUACCAACACCAGAUUCUAGCCUCAGCAGCAUAGUGUCCACUAGGUACACACAAAUAGUUACGGCUCUCAUAAAUAACCACUUAAUAGUAUAAAGUUAUCCAUCGUCUAUAUUAUAAAGAGGGGUUUCUAAAACAUGUUCUAACAUCCUAUCGUCAUCCAUCAGAUAGUCUACUAGUUCAUGAUUUUUAUAGAAAUUACGAUAUAUUAAAAUAUAGCUCAAUAUAGGCCAACAAUUGAUUCCUCACCAAAAACAUAAGACUAAAAACAACAUAUUCAAUAAAUAUGCUUAACAUAAAAUCAAAUCAUAAAUUUGUAAGGCAUGUUAUUCAUUUAUGCAAUUGAACUAUAAAAUCAUAUAAUUUUAGAAGGGGGUCCACUCACAUGUAUUCCACUAUUGGAGAGCCACUUGAAUUAGGAUGGAUUGGAUCACUUUCCACAGUUGCACCUAAACACCAAAUAGAUUAGGUUUAAAUAAUUGGCUUAAGUGUUUAAUUACUACAACCCAAAGUUUGGGUCGGGUCCCCAAAAAGUUAUUGGACUUAAUCCAAUAACCAAAGCCAAUCAAAUGAGUUGGGAUUUUAGCAUGUGGGUUGGGUCCUUAAAGAUUUUGGGCUUAAAUAGGGUUAGGACUUAUUGGGUUUUGGUUUUGGAUAGUUUUAGGAGUAAAAAGGGUGGUGGUUUGGGCUUGAGCCCAAACCCACACAUCACACACAUAAGAACACCAACACACACACACAUGUAUGCACAACACACAUGUACACAUGCAUAGCACACACAUACAGCACUGCACACACACUCACACACACGGCACUGCACACACACUCUCACACACUCACAACAUAUCACACACACCACACAACCCACACACACUUAUGGCCUAAGUAGGGCACAACCCACAUGCCAAUUAACCAAAUAAAGGACAUAAGAAACCAGGCUGGGCUAAGGCCCGUGGGUGAUUUGAGAAGGCCUGAUGGCCUGAUGGCUUGGGUGUUGUCGGGGAAGAACACCGAAGUUGCUACAACUCCGGUCGACGGCGAACAAACAAACCAAUACCCAACCCAAGUACAAAAAUGAAGAGGGAAGGUAGCUGAAGUAUUCUCGUACCCUAGCUUCACCGUGAACUACUUUGGGUGGUCGGAAAAACCUUCAAAGGUCACUGGUUUUUUUGGGAAAAACGCAUAGAGCACCAGUAGAGGUUAGAGCCUCAAAAUUAUCUCCACAACACUAAAAAAUCUUGGAUUAAACACUAAAUGAGGCAGAUGUUUCACGUGGAACCGAUGGGGAAGACUCAAAGCUCACGGUUCAAUGAGUUCGAAACUCUGCCAUGCGCAGAUGGUCCAUGCAAAGCCACUGCUAAGAUCCUCAGGCAACCUAAAAUCUAUUUCUGGUGAUUUUAUGUUGAACUAAGUUGUAAGAGAUGGUGGUUGUGGGUGGUGUGGUGCUCUCGGGUGUGGGUCGAGGGGUGAGAGGUCGGGGAGUGAGGAAGAGAGAGACGAGAGUGAAUGCAGAGAGAUCCGAGGAGAGAGAAGGGAAAAGAGAAGAGAAAUGGAGGAGAGAGAGAGAUUGGGGGACAAAGGUUAUAAGUUGGGCCCCACGUGGCUCACCAAUUUAAGUCCCAAAAAUAAUUUUUUUUACUUAAAACUUAACUAUAUUUUGAAAUUAGGGGGUGAGGUGUUACACUAAGGCUCAAGGCAUUGCCCUAGCAAACGGAAUUAGUUACGAACAACCAUAAAAUGAAGAGAAUUUUAUUGAAAUAGAAAAAGGAUAGAAAACACCUUGAAAUACAAAACGUCAAAGCCCAGCUAAGUUCUCCAAAUUGAUGCCCCGUUCCUAAUGACUAAAAAACCUUACUUAUACUACUAUAAAAUAAAAUCCUACCUAGAAAAGGUCUUCUCAAAACUAGGAAACAUAAUAGAAUAAGAUAACUAGGAAAUAAAAUGUUUCCUAUUUAAACUGAAAUUCAGACUUCUUAAAUAAUCAGACUUUUGACCGAUCAAAUAAACUCCGAUUUGGUCCCAAAAGGACUUUUUCUUUAAAGCUUGAGACGUCCUUAACAAAUCCUUAGAAUGAAUCUUCCUCAAAUUAUACCAUCUUGACCUUCAAAAUGCCCAAAAUGUCCAAAAACGUCAAUCUGGGAAAGCUGCGCACUAGGUCUUAUAUUUCAUCACCACGGUCAAACGGCUUGGUAGAAAAAUCUAAAAUUUUGACACAAUCAUCUUGAAAGACUCACGAACAUCUUCAAGUAGAAUCACUCCAAAAUUCAUCCGUUUGAUUACUUUUUUCUCCAGAGGAAGUCAAAUGUCCUACAUUGAAAAUAUAUAACAAAAAUAUCAAAAUUCUAUCAAAAUAACCAAUAAACUAUAACUAAGAAUAAGGUAAAAUAUAUAGUAUAAUAUCGCCUCAUCAGCUCACUUAUCAAAAACAUGUUUUGUCAAAACAUUUAAGAAGGAAUUCACUCACUGAAUUCAAGUCGACCAUUCUCAAUGGGCGCGUUUCCUUUGUUUAGUUUAGACGAACUCGCACCUGUACCAAUAACUUAGUCACUUUAACUCAAUAAAGCUUCUAAGUGUUAUAUGUGUCAAAUGCCUCUAUUAGUGAAAACGUAGUGCAUCAUUUGAUUCAGGACGUUGAAAAAUCUUAGGUUAGGUCUCGAGUUCUCACGUGCCACCAUACAGACAGUCUCACACCACCUAGUCGUCAAUGUACACACCGUUGUAGCUAGUGAACACACCAUCGUACACGUCUCCAUCACCGUCAGUACAUUGUUGAUGUUGUCAUUGGCCAACUAUGCAACUGCGAUGACAGUCGUCGUUCGGCGCUGUCAUAUGUUAAGUAGUGCUGCGCUUACUCACUGGUGAGGCAAGCACAACCAUUAGAAUUAAAGGAUUGUGCUGCUGUAACCACUAAGUAUUAGUUUGGUACUGAUGUGUUUUUAUAAAAAGUGGGUAUCAAGAAAAACUGAGCUCAAAAAGGUGUUUGGUAAACACUUAAAAAUAACUUAUUUUCACAGUUUUUUGUGAAAAAAGCUGAAAAUGUGAAGCAGCAAAAAUGAGCUUAUUCUCACAGCACAACAGAAACAAUUUUUUUUCAAAGCACAACAAUACCAAACCAGUCAUAAAUCUGCUAACGGCUGCCGUGCUUCAUCAGCAGAAUCUUCACCAGAUUUUGUAGAAUUUCCAGAAAUCAUUUCGGAGCUCCAAAUUGGCUCAUUUUCACAUAUUUCUCAACCAAAUCUUCAUAAAAAGCUCUAAAACACUUACCAAAACCUAAACCAAAAUGUUUUACUUCUAGAUUCACUUCGAACUUGUUGGAAAACGGCCAAAUUCUUUUGCUGAAAAUUGGAAGCCAAACAUAGAGGAUAAACAGGGGGUUAAAAUCUUCGAUUUCAACUCAACAACAACAUGCACAACAUGAUUUUGAUACUUGGGUUUUUGAGUAUAGUCUAAAAUAUUGGGACAAAGGGCUUCCAAUGGGUCAAAAUAAAAGUCCUUAAAAUAUCCCAACAUAUAGACACUCGUUGGAUAUCUCAAAGAAGUCCUCAAAUGUGAGGACAGUAUGGGACUCAAAGAGUGGGCUCCACUGUUGAUUUGAGUGUGGAACAAACGCUACCCACGUGUGAAUGUUGCACAACAACUUCUCAUUUUGGUUUUUUUCUUGUUUUUUGAACCCACUAUGUGAAUGCUAAUAGCCAUUCCUGUAGCUUCCCUUUUUUUUUAACCGUUAGCCUUUUGGUUUUUAUCAACGACCACAAUACUGUAAUGAAAUGAACAAUCAUUGUUUAAUAUUUUAGUUCCUACAUUUAGGGAUUAUAUUAUAAGGACCUCUUAAUUGAAGGCAAUAAUCCUUUAGUGACCCGAAUAUUCUCUUGAAGUCCCUAAAUGAGUCCUCAAAGGUGGUGAUAGGAGUUACUGUUUUGAGACUUGCAUUAGAGAUGCUCUCAAGCCACUCAAAACUCUUCCAACGUGCAAUUAUGAUUUUGCCCCUUCUGAACAUGUUACUUAAUAUAUGAAUUUCAUUAGCCAAAUUAAGUAUUAAUAAACAAGCGCAUUUAAAAGUUAUUAAAAAUUAUGUAAUAUAAACAUGAAUGUUUAAGAACUAUUGAAUUUUGGCUUUAAAAAAAAGAAAUAUUGAAUUUGAAUCACAUUAUUGCUAGCUCAUUGUGAGGUUAAGCUCACUCUCUUUCAUUUAGUGUAAAUAAUAUCGUUUGUUAAAAAAAAAUUAUUAUCAUUCGGUGACCCGACUCAACUCAUAUGGAUCGAUAGACCCGCUACAACACGGAAAGAGAUCCUCUCCGGAUCUUUCCAUCUAAAGGCCAAAGAUCAAGUGAUUUGAGUCUUUAAAAUUUGAUUCAACGGCUAAAAACAGAAAAGUUAAUAAAAACUUCUAAAAACUAUAAUAAUUUUUAGUCGUUGAAUCAUAUUUCAAAGAUCUUAACUUUUAAAAAUUAUAAUAAUUUUUAAUCGUUGAAUUAUAUUUCAAAGGUCCGGAUCGCUAGAGAUCCCAAGAUGAACUCUUUCCCUAAAAACACACAUCCCUGAUAGAAAGUUAGAAUCGUUACUAUAAAUUUCGCCCAAAACAAAAGAAUAUAAAUAUCAAAUUUGCAGAACCCAAAAGUCGCACCGCCAAAAUCCACCAAAAUUCAUCCCUUAAUUCGUCUUUCAACCUCUCUCUCUCUCUCUCUCUACUAAUUUUAGUUCUCUUUCCACCAAAAUCCGGGUUUUUCCUGUGUUCUCAAAGAGGGUUUUCAAUGGAGGUAGAGCAGAAGCAAGCCCAGGUGAUCGAGCACUUCGUGAAGCAAGCCUCUAGUCUCCAGGGGUCCUCUCUCGUCAGCCUCAUAGUCCAACUCACCUCUCAUUCUUCUCUCUUCGCUUUCUCCGAGAUUUUGGCUGUCCCCAAUGUGCUCGAGGUCAGUCCUUUCGUGUUCUUUGCUUGCCUGAUGCAAUUUGGGAUAAAAAUUUUGCUUUCGGGUUAUGUGAUUUUUGAUUCUGUUAGCCCCAUGAUUUAGAGCUUCUGGGUGUUCCUCAGAUUCUGUAUUUUUGUAGGAAAUUAGUGUUCUCAUUUGGGUUUUAUGCAAAGUUAUAAAUUUGUGUUUGGUUUUUAGUGUAUGAUCCCAAUAGAAGAAUGUGGGUUUUAGUACCAAUUUAGAAUAUUUCCAUUACAAUUUGUGUUUUAUGUUGAUAUCAAAUGUAGAAGGGGUUAUGAAAGAUUUAAAACAAAAGGAAUGUUAAUUGUAUAUCUGAUCGGUAGGAUGUAUGUUUGGUUAAAUAUGGAAAAUAUGGAUACCCAUCAGAGCCCAAAGAGAUCACUUAUUAACUAUUAAUCCCGCGUCGGAAUUGGAUUCUUGUACAUUUUGUCUUUGAUGAGCUAAAGUGACUUUGUGCUUACUGCUUACAGACCCUAGUAUGAAGACUUGCUUCUACUGUAUCCUGAUCAUGACUUUAGUAUUAAUUAGUGGAUAUGGAGUACCCAAGCCAUUAUAUUCUUUAUAAUGAUUUGGGUUAACUGAUAAAUUUUGUCUACUGCAACUCCAAAAGGUGAAAUGAGGGGCAAAGCAUUCCAUCCCAAUUUAUUUUCUUUAUUUAUUUGUGCAGUGAAGUUUAAUGAUGGGUUCAUGAUUCCUAACAAUCACCUUUCCUUUAUUCCCUAACAUGGUAUUGUUAGAUUCUUGACGUAUAUUAUGUUUCGAUUCUCAUAAUGUGUUUCAAUGCAGCUUCAAGGAACGGGAUAUGCUGUAUACAUUGAUCUACUUCGUCUCUUUGCUCAUGGAACAUGGAGCGACUAUAAGAGUAAGAAACGUUCUGCACAAACUCCUUUGCACUACCUAUAAGGGGAGACAUUCUGUACUUCUAUUGGUCCUUCAGUUGUAGUAACUUUUUUUUCAUUUUACCAACUAGAUACAUUAGGACGUUUUUUGUUGGUUGAAAAAGUUAGAUGUUGGGACUAGAUACCAAAGGUUUUACAGUUUUCCAGAUUCUCUGAUCUAUCAAGGAUUCUCCGGUAUUAGUUUAAAAUAAAAGGUGAUCAGUGAUUGAUAGACAUGUUUUGGUAUGCUUGCAUUUGCUGUCAAAAUCGUCACAGUUCUGGAAUGAAAGGGGUAACAUUGAUACAUGUUCCCUAUGGCAGGUCUGAUAUAAACCUCAAUGGUUAUAGGGCCUUGUCCCAACUAAUCAUACUCCUCCAUUUUAUCCCACCAGGGCUUAUUUUUAUUUUGAGUCACAUGCUGUUAUAUAUUUCCUAAUUAUCCCCAUCCAUGUUAUUUUCUGUCCUCUUACUGUAAUACUACCCUCAAUGCUGAUUAGUCAGUAAUUUGAACAGGUAAAACCAUUAACCUUAGUUGAACUGUCCAAACCCUCAAAGCCUGUUUUAUUUCAUUUUUCUCCAAUUUGAGUGAAUUGUGUGUGUGGUAAUUUUGGAAUCUAUCACUUUCUGUAGAACCACACAUCUAUCUCAACAUUCUUAUUUAAGCCACAAUCAUUUUAUGAAUAUCUUUUUUUCUUUAACUACCUAGCAUUCUGUUCCAAAAUAGCAUGCCUUCUUUCAUAUAUGACUUGAAGAAAAAAAAUUUGUGGCUAUCAAGUUUCAAAAGGCAGAGUUUCUGAACUUUGAAUCGAUCGUCCUUAAUAGUUUGGGAAGGCAAUGAUGAAAUUCUUUCAGUUAAUAGCAAAGUUACUUGCAAUAGGUUACACAACAUCGUAAUAAGUAAAAUACCUGCUUGUUCUAGGAGCCUUCUUGGUAUACAUAUAUUGACAAAUGUUACCUGCAAAAACUGGAAGUUUUCCUCUCGUUCAUUGAGUACUUCUUGUACAACAGUAUAUGGACAAUCAACAGUAUUAUGUCAAGCCAUUGCUUCCUUGCAUUAGUGCUCAAUGUGUAAGGAAGCUUAACAUUUACUGUUCGGGAUCUAAUAAUGUGAAAUUGUCAGGUCUACUUAUGUUACUACUACUUCAUAAAGUAUCUAUCUGUAUUGGACAAGAAGUUGUUUAAGGAGCCAUAAGAUCUUUGAUCACUCAUAGUCAUGUCAUUGGUUGUUUCAUUGGAAUAUGACAUUGGCAGUGGCACUUGAAAUUAUAUACUUCUUGUUUAACAUACCUAUGAGUGCAAUUUAAUGACUGAAUGAGUUGCAGGUAAUGCUAGCCUUCUUCCACCACUAGUCCCAGAUCAAAUCACCAAGCUGAAGCAACUUACUGUGCUUUCUCUAGCUGAGAUGAACAGGGUAUAACGAUUAGCUUGAUAUCAUACUCUAAUAGUUUGACCUUUUUUAUUGUAGUAGUCUGGUUAUACCUUACUUGAAAUUUCCGGCUAGUCCCUUAUUGGAAUAUGGUACUUACAGUAAUGCAGUUUAAUAUAUCUCUUAAAGUUCCUACUUUGGUCAAAUUAUUUCACUUUUGUGCCAGGAAUGAAAGCCACUUCAUUUUUCCAUGCAUAGAAUAUAGGGGUUUUGGUGGGUGAUAGUGCUUUAGUUCAUGUACUUCUCAAAUCAAUGUUCAUAUGAGAUUCUCAAGGUCUUGGUGCCUAGGUGGUAAAAAGCUUGCUUUUGAAAUUUUGAGACCUAAUUAAGGCUAGAAUUUAUAUUAAUGAAAUUUAGAAUUUACAUUAGAUGAAAAUAGCAAAAGAUUUAGAGAUUGGGGAUAAAAAAGGGAGGAAGGAGGCUCAUAAGAAAUUAUGGCUAGUCUUCUCCAGUUUAUUUAUAUGUGCAGGAAAAAAGAGAGUGGGCCUACUUUACUUAAAAAAAUUAAAAUAAAAUAAAAAUCGAGUGGACCUACUUAUGAGCAUAUUUUUUGCAUCCCAAAAAUUACUCACACAAGUAUGAAAGCAAACUAGACACUGAACUAAAAAUGAACACUUGUAAAGGUUACUAGACUUCUUUAAAGAAAAGGGAAGGGAUUUGGAAAUUUUUUAUUUCCCCCCUUUUAUUUCCUGGAGAAAAUUGGGUGGAUUAGGUUAUAAAAGAAAACACAGUUUGCCAAUACAUCUGGGUGUUUGUUGCCUAAAAUUGGAGAAAGGAGUAAGACAUAUAUAUUUAGCUUCACAUUUAUUCAAUUAUCUGUAAAUUCUUUUAGACUGGUGUGGGUUUGAUUUGACAUAGGAACUGCCACUUCGUGCUGGUGGAAACUAGGUUGGCAUUAGGAAAAUCACUUAUCCUUUGGUGGUGUGGGCUUCUUUUCGUAUUUGGUCAGAAAGAAGUAGGUUGUUUAGUUCAUUUUGGAAUAAAAUUAGUUUCCAGCUUCUCUAUUUCCAUUUUGAUUAUUAAAGGGGAGGGGGUUGGUGUUUGAAUUGAGUGAAGUGGGAUUUUUUUAUUUUUUUAUUUUUUUUGCUGAUACUUGAUAGUUAGAACUCCGCCUGUGUAAGUUUAUCUUACAUUGCCAGUCCCAAGCCCGGAUAAAGGAGGAGGGGGAGGGCGUCAGGUAGUCGAUAACUGACACUCCUAUCUUAAUCCUUAUUAUUAUGAUACUUGAUAGUUAGACUAAUUGUGAUAAACUUAAUACCAUGAUGCUUGUAGUUGGUGUGGGCUUCUUUUUGUAUUUGGUCAGAAGGAGUUGAGUAACUCAGAAGAGUGUAGAAACUACUCCUUUUAUCGUCGAAUCAGGAAGGAAGAAGUGGUUGUAGCUUUGAAGAAGAUGAAGCAUAGAAAAGCAGUGGGCCCAGACGAUAUACCGAUUGAAGUGUGGAAAGCCUUGGGAGAGACAGGUAUAGCAUGGCUCACUGACAUUUUCAAUAGGAUUUUGAAAACGAAGAAGAUGCCAAACGAGUGGCGAAAGAGCACCUUGGUGCCUAUUUACAAGAAUAAGGGCGACGUACAAAAUUGCAUGAACUAUAGGGGUAUUAAGCUAAUGAGUCAUACAAUGAAGCUCUGGGAGAGAGUCAUUGAGCAUAGAUUGAGGCAAGAGACACGGGUUUCGGACAACCAAUUUGGGUUCAUGCCAGGGCGCUCAACCAUGGAGGCAAUCUAUCUCUUACGAAGAUUGAUGGAAAGAUAUAGAGAUGGGAAAAAGGAUUUACACAUGGUCUUUAUAGAUUUGGAAAAAGCGUAUAAUAGGGUUCCAAGAGACAUUCUUUGGAGGAUUUUAGAGAAGAAAGGAGUACGAGUAGCAUAUAUCCAAGCUAUAAAGGAUAUGUAUAAAGGAGCAAAGACUGCCGUAAGAACUCAUGAAGGACAAACCGAAAGCUUCUCCAUAACUGUAGGAUUACAUCAAGGCUCAUCCUUAAGUCCUUACCCUUUUGCGUUGGUAAUGGAUGAUUUAACAGGACAUAUUCAAGAUGAUAUUCCUUGGUGUAUGCUUUUCGCAGACGAUAUAGUGUUGAUAGAUGAAACUCAGGAAGGGGUAAAUGCGAAGCUUAACCUUUGGAGAGAAGUGUUGGAAUCUAAAGGUCUUCGCCUAAGCCGAUCAAAGACAGAAUAUAUGGAGUGCAAAUUCAGUGCAAAUGGAGGCAAAAAUGAAUUAGGGGUGAGGAUCGGAGAUCAGGAAAUACCAAAGAGCGACCGUUUUCGCUACCUAGGAUCUAUCUUGCAAAAGAACGAAGAAUUAGAUGGAGAUCUCAACCAUAGAAUACAAGCUGGAUGGAUGAAGUGGAAGAGUGCAUCCGGCGUGUUGUGUGAUCGUCGUAUGCCACUGAAGCUUGGUCGUACCCAGUGCACAAGGCUCCCGCUUUACGCAGGGUCUGGGAGAGGUGAAUGUCGGCUAGCCUUACCCCCAUUUUAUGGAGAGGCUGCUCCCAAGUCUCGAACCCGAGACCUACUGCUCAUGGGCGAAGGCUAAGGGAAAAUUUUAUAGGAUGGCAAUAAGGUCGGCGAUGCUGUAUGGCACAGAAUGUUGGGCGGUGAAGCAUCAACACGUACACAAAAUGGGGCUAGCCUUACCCCCAUUUUAUGGAGAGGCUGCUCCCAAGUCUCGAACCCGAGACCUACCGCUCAUGGGCGAAGGCUAAGGGAAAAUUUUAUAGGAUGGCAAUAAGGUCGGCGAUGCUGUAUGGCACAGAAUGUUGGGCGGUGAAGCAUCAACACGUACAUAAAAUGGGUGUAGCAGAGAUGAGGAUGCUUCAUUGGAUGUGUGGGCACACGAGAAAGGAUAAGAUUAGGAAUGAGGAUAUCCGAGGUAAUGUAGGAGUAGCCGAAAUUGAAGGAAAGCUGAGAGAAAAUCGGUUACGGUGGUUUGGACAUGUGCAAAGAAGGCCUACUGAUGCUCCGGUUAGAAGAUGCGACUACGGGAUAGAGGUUCAGGGCCGAAGGGGUAAAGGAAGACCUAGGAAAACUUUGGAAGAGACUCUAAGAAAAGACUUAGAGUACUUGGAUUUAAUGGAGGACAUGACACAUGAUCGAGCACAAUGGCGUUCUAAGAUUCAUAUAGCCGACCCCACUCAGUGACUUGGAUUUUUCAAGUCUCCAAUCAAGAAGUUUUCCCCACUCGGAAAAUUAAGGGAACACUACCUCAACCUACAUGCUCCACUCACAAAGCUUCAACAUACAAGCUUCAACAAAAGAAAAAUUCAAAGAACUUAGUGAAGAAGGCUUUGGUGUAUUUAACACAAUACGUUGAAAUGAAACAAAGCUUAUUUAUUGAUAUCUCCAAUAAGUUACAAAUAUGUACAUAUACGUGAGUCAAAAUAAACAAACAAGAGGGAGUCUUCACAAAGGUUGCUUAGGAGAAGUCUCAGCAGUCGGUAGAGCCCCAGAAAGAGAAGGCAUCGGAGGGGGAUCAUUCGGAGCCUCAGUACUGGACAGCACCCUAGAAGGAGGAGGCAUCGGAGGUUGAUCAUUUGGAGCUUCAUUACGCGGUACAGCCCCAGAAGACGAAGGCAACAAAUGCCUUUGGAACAAACCCACAAACCUCUGAUGAUCAUGUAAAAUCUGACCAUCAGAUUCCUUCAUCUGGUCAAGCUUCCUCUUCAUGUUUGUAGCAUAGUCAUGUGCGAGCCGGUGCAACUGUUUAUUCUCAUGCUUGAGCCCUCUAAUCUCCUGUUUGAGACUCAUCACUUCAGCCGCCAAUGAUUCAACUUGGCGGGUUCGAGCAAAUAGGCGUUAGGCCAUAUUAGACACAGAACCUGCACACUGAACACUGAGAGCCAGAGAAUCCUUAACAGCCAACUCAUCAGACCGUUUGGAAAGUAGUCUGUUAUCUUUGGGAGUGAGAAGGUUCCUGGCCACCACCGCAGCGGUCAUAUCAUUCUUCAUCACGGAAUCCCCAACAGUAAGAGGACCAGUAGGGGAUAAGAAGGAUGGGCGCCAUAUGUUGUCUGGAGAAGGCGUGGCUGCCUCUUCAACAAGGUUCAAGUCAAAACGACGGUCGGAGGGGCCAGACAUUUUCAAAGGUGUUGAAGAGAGAAGAGGUCGGACAAAUCAAGAUCUUAGAAAUGUAAGAAGGGAGCUUCUACUGGUGGAGAUUCAAGUGUGCUUUGGAACUUAAUACCAGCUUCUAUAAAAAUCUGCACUCGAUGGAGCUUCAGAAAUCGAAGAGGCGCCUGCUCAGAAAUCGAAAAGGCGUUUGCUUUCUCAAAAGUUGGGCUGCUCAGAGACCACGAGGGCCGAUCUUAGGAAUCGAAGAGGCGUUUGCUUUCUCAAAAGCUGGGCUGCUCAAAGACCACGAAGGUCGAUCGCAGAAAUCGAAGAGGCGCUUGCUUUCUCAAAAGCUGGGCUGCUCAGAGAUCACGAGGGCCGAUCUCAGAAAUCGAAGAGGCACCUGCUUUUUCAACCUUGUCAGCACCUGUCACAUGCACACUCAACUUUGCGGAAAUUACGGGCAUUCUGUCGAAGAUUUCUGGUGAAGUAGAAAGCACGUGAAUGUUACUGUUCAAUCAUCCACUUUCCACACACAACAUCAGCUCACGGGUACCACAGAUAACUUUGCCAAAAAUCUCUGACAAAGUUUAGACACGUGAAGCUUGCAACUCCCAUUACAUUGCUAUGACCAAGAAGGCUA
rnacentral:lncRNA from 1 species